rnacentral:rRNA from 1 species
GACGAACGCUGGCGGCGUGCUUAACACAUGCAAGUCGAACGGUAAGGCCCUUCGGGGUACACGAGUGGCGAACGGGUGAGUAACACGUGGGUGAUCUGCCUGCACUUCGGGAUAAGCCUGGGAAACUGGGUCUAAUACCGGAUAGGACUCCGGACUGCAUGGUCUGGGGUGGAAAGCUUUUGCGGUGUGGGAUGGGCCCGCGGCCUAUCAGCUUGUUGGUGGGGUGAUGGCCUACCAAGGCGACGACGGGUAGCCGGCCUGGGAGGGUGACCGGCCACACUGGGACUGAGAUACGGCCCAGACUCCUACGGGAGGCAGCAGUGGGGAAUAUUGCACAAUGGGCGCAAGCCUGAUGCAGCGACGCCGCGUGAGGGAUGACGGCCUUCGGGUUGUAAACCUCUUUCAGCACCGACGAAGCGCAAGUGACGGUAGGUGCAGAAGAAGGACCGGCCAACUACGUGCCAGCCGCCCCCGUAA